GCAGGAGAGGUCAUUCCCUCGGGACACUGGGCUGAGGGAGGAAACAGCAUUGCGCCGGUGUGUCAUGCAGGCGGCCUUCUGCUGACUGAUCAUCCCUUAGUUCUCCUUGGAAUUGAUUGAACUAUUGUGGUUCUAGAUAAGGGAUAUCCUCAUCAAAGACUAAAGAUAAUGGAGCAGGCUGACCACAAC